ACACACACACACACACACCUGUUUUCUGUCUUAUUAAAACAGGGUCUCACGUAGUCCAGGUUGAUCUCAAACUUGCUGUGUCCCAAGGAUGACUUUGAACUCCUGGUCCUCCUGCCUCUGUCUCCUAAGUGCUGGGACUGGAGGUGUGUGCCACCAUCCCUAUCAACAACAGAAGAGUGUCCCUUGCCUUCAGACACUGUCAGAUGCUGAAGUCUGCAUUUGCCAUUGGGAAGCCUCGGUGCAGAUUCAGUUGAAGAUAACCAUUCCAUCCACACAAGUCAUCUGCCAGGUAAAGGGAUUAUAUGCAUAUAUUUUGUUUUGAGGUGAUGUCUCACAGUGUGGCCCAGGUUGGUCUCAAACUCCAGGCCUGUGGGUCUUCCAACUUGACUGGAUCCAGGCACACGCCCUUGUCAUCCUGGGACUUUAGAGUUGGAUGCAGUAGAUCAGGAAUUCAAGGCCAUCCUUGGCUACACUGUGCUUGGCCCUGCCAAGCUCAGCAGUUUGCUACUUCUGGUUGUAGGAUAGACCCUAGCUGUCAGCAAGCAUGUUUUCAACUGGGGAGGUUUUGUGUUCCUCAUUAUACAGUACAUGCUCUGAUUUUCUAAGUGAUCAUAACCCAGUUUUUAAAUUUGUCUUGGCUUUCAUUUUCUACCCACCAAUUAAAGAACAUCUAUUGCUCUUUUUUAAGUCGAGACACUCAAAUCUGUGUGCAUCCUGUUACCUUGGUCACCAGCAGUUGUGUCAGCACCUUACGUGGGGUUCCCUGGAUACUCACAUUCAUGGAAUUAAAAUGUAAACAGUGGUAACGGGGACCCAGGCUCAAAGAAUGCAUGGAGUUAAAGGUUUGCUGUGGGAUGUCCCUCUCCCUCUGCUUAGAAAAUCAGGUUCUAUUCAAGACUCGUGGUGGGCCUGGGCUAUAUAUUUUAUGUAAACUAUUUUUAGACUGGAGGAUUUAGUUUUAAGAGGAAAGCUUUGAGCGCAAUUAAACCAUGGAGGUGUACCAGAUUCUUCGAUGCCUUGGGGUCACUCCUGCUUGCUUGCCUUCUAUAAAGCCUCAGACCUCACCUGCAAGGUGAACUUGGUCACCCUCCACUUCCCUCUGUGUUCCCUAAUGCAUCUGUCUUAAAGGGAACAUUGUCUGGGUGUGGUGUAAUCUCAGCCUGCAGGAGGCUGAGGCAGGAGGAUUGCCUGGGAUACAUGAGUAACCCCUCUCUCAGAAUAAGGUAUGUUCCUUUUCUCGCUGUGACAGUUCAGAGGAACAGUCCUGGAGAAAUGUUUGCUUCUAGCCAAGAAUCCUGCGUUCUAGAGACUCAUUCUGCACAAAACUAAGUACAUGGACCAAGUAAGAUGUAUGAACCUUGAGCAGCCACGUGACAAGUGACUACUGCUGUUUCAAACUCCCCUCGUUGUGUUCUCCAGGGCCAUCUUCCUCCUCAAGAGUGCCACUGUCUCCCUCAGUCUUGGGCAGAGCACAAUUCAUAGUCAGGAUUACCAAAUGUAUUCAGCGCGGUGGCAUAUCCCGUCAUCUCAGCGCUUGGGAGGCAGAGGUAUGAGGACUUUGCAAGUUUAAGGCCAGCCUGGGCCAUGUACCACGACCCUGUCUCAUCAACGAGGGGGCUCCUGGAUGUCCAGGUGCCCCAGACAGAUAGCAGUGACCGUGCAUCUCUGGCUGUGGCUGGGGACUUAUCUUCCUGGUAGCUUCUAGUCAAGGCUAGAAGUGAUCUCAGAUAAGUCAGCAUGCAGACACCACUAACUGGCUUCAUGUUCUCCUGGAAACCUGCAGUUCUUGAAGUGAGUCCUGAGACCUGGCAGGUCCUGCGUGGCCUGGACUGGAUGUGCGUUCUUGACAUGAGGAGGGUUUCUUAUCUAUCUAUGCAGAUAACGCGUGGUUUUCUGUACUGUUCCUUUUUGAUCUCCACUCUUCCAAAGUCAGACUGAGGACAAAGGGGGGACAGCAGGUGUCAGUCCCGCGCCGUGCCCUCUGCUGUCAGCCCGAGUAUUUAUUAUGUCACUGUGUUACUGCACAUUGAUUUCAUUACUGAACCGCAGCUGGAUUUAGUCUCGAAUCCGGCCUGUCCGCGGCCCCCCUGGUCCUGUGCACUGUAGUGAAUCCUUGCUGCACUUGCAGAAACUGGUCAGUGAGCUUUGUCCCUGUGUCCCGUGAUCUUAGUGUGCUUGACGUGAUGGGCCAUAGUUCAUUAUCAGCUUCAACUCUCCUGUGUCCUCAGGAUUUCUAACAUUCCUCGUCCUGUAAGGAGGUAACAAAGGCAGACAUGUGAUUACCUGUAACAGAUUUUGAUGUUGAACUAAUAAAAACUUGUUUUGUAAGUCA
rnacentral:lncRNA from 1 species